AAAUGCAUUAUCAUUUAAUAGGAUCGUGUGAAGAAAAGAGCAAACAGCUUUACAUUAAUGACAGCAGGGAAGGAAUCGUGACAGCAACACUGAAUUGGAUUUUUACUGGGAUGAGUUUUUGUUUUGUAGAUAAGGAGAACCACCAAUUUGACUGGGACAACACCAAAAUCCUGGGACAAGCUAAGCAGAGACAGGCACGGGAAUUCCCAGAAGCCUAGCACUCCAUGAGGAUAAUCUGCCAAUGCUGAAGACUCUUUCAAGUCAGAAAUGGGCCGGGUUAGGAGAUUGGGUACAACAGGGCCAUUUCUCUCUCCGAAGCUCGCAGGCAAGACCAUGAGAACAGAGCUGGCCUAGAAUUGUGAAGUCAUCAUUAACCCUUAUCAUGCAAGUUGUGAGCUUUUCUCUCGCACUGACCAACAGGCUGUUAAAUGAGGGAAGGAAAUCUGCCCAACCUUACCUGAACUGGCCUGCAUGCGACUCAAAAGCACAGCAACGUGGUGGCCUCUUUAUCUGGGAUGGACAAUGAAUACUAGUCUGACCAGUCAUGACCCCAUCUUGCGAAUUUUUUUUAAUAAUCCGACAUGGACCUUUACCCUAUCAAAUGGAGCUGUUUGCUCAAAUCUCUGUGCAAAUUCUUCACUUGUACAAUGCAAAACUAAUGCAACUAGAUGCGAUUAUAGCCAUAUCCACAUAUCUUCUUGGCUUUGCAUAUUUAUUUACCUUGAUCCUCCUAAAUUUGCAAUGUUCUUUGCUCUGUGAAGCAUUUCAUAUUCAAACAACGCUCCCUGGCCCACAUUAAACAAUUUCUCCUAACCUCUUUCACUCUCUUACAAAUAAUCUCUUCCUAUUCACUCCACCAAAAGCCAAAUAAUCUUUUCUUUAAACUCUAUUAAAUCUCCUCUUAAUCCCCUCUUCUCCAGUGCAAAUGAUUCCAGUAUCAGAAGUCUAUUCGGACAAAUCAGGUAUAAAUUAUCUUUCUCAACUCUACUUCAACAAUGUAUGAAACCGUAUAGUCGCAAAGCCGCAGCAGAUGAGUGGCAACAUAUUUCUCUUGCAAUUUCCACACCACUAAUCCUUAUGACUGACAUUUCCAAGCUACUGUGAUAAAACAGAGCUAUGUCCAGAAGUUAAAAAACAGUCAGUGAAAAUAAACCCUUACACCCAUCUCAACGAUUCAAAGUAUAGCACGAUACUCACAAUAUCCUCCAAGUCUGUCCCAUAUAUUAUUCAUGACUUUCCCACACUCCUCCCUAAUUUUCAAUUUAGUUUUUGAUUUUAGUUAAUUUUUCAUUCUGUAUCAUUGAAAAUACCACCAUUCUACAGAAUUCUUUUCAUCUUCAAUUCUCAUCACACUCUCGCACAGGAACAACAUGCAAGUCCGCAUGGAAAUAUUACUGUCCGUUUGAAAGAUAAAUAACGGCAGAUAAAUUUUUGAUAUCCAAGGUAUUACCAGCAAUUUCAUCAAUAUUUCGGUCAUUGCUUGAUCAGGAUGUGUCACAGCAAAUAAAAAAGUUAAAAAAUGAGAAGCUUUCUUCUGCAGGACAUGAUUUGUGUUCUCAAUAUUUGUGAUGCUCCAAUAGUAAUUCUCAAAGUAUUGACGUUGAAGCUUUCAAAUAAUCCAUCAGUUAGAGGAUCCUUAAUAGCUUGUCACACUGCUAUAGUCGAUAGUUUAGCCACAAGAAAAUUGGUACUGGAACCUACAGAAAAGUCUUCAGAUUACCAAAGAGAUAGAUGGUAUCCUGUAACAGUGAAUAAGAAGACAGUUGCUUGAACAGUGCCAACCACAGUGUACUGAGUAUGGUGACCACAAUGGCUGUAAAGCCAAUUUGUUUCAUCAACUGCUUCCAUCUUAGAAGCCGGAGGUGCUCUUUCAUGCUUUAUGGAAAGAGUAUGGUCAAACAGUUUAAUUAAUUUAUAAAAACCAAAAGAACUGAGGAUGCUGUAAAUUGGGAACAAAAACAAAGUUGCUGGUCUAACAGCAUCUGUGGAGGAGAAAACAGAGUUAACGUUUCAGGUCCGGUGACCCUUCCUCAGAACUGAUGGUGGCUGAGAAAACUUCAGUUUAUAUGCAGAAAACAGGGAAGUGGGUGGGGCAGGGAGUAAACGAUAGGAUAGAGUCCAAAGAGAGAGAAAGACAGUUGGACAGGCAAAGGAGUUGUUCAUGAUCAGGCGGGGAGGGUGAAUAGUUGUUCAUGGGGACUGUUAGUGACUAACAACAGGGGGUGUGAAACGGCAGCCUACGUAGUAACAAGGCCUGGCAUUUGGGGUGGGGGGCUAGGACAUGGGGAGUUCGGGCGCUAAAAUUAUUGAACUCAAAACUGAUCCAGAGGGCUGUAGGGUCCCCAAGCGGAAAACAAGGUGCUGAGCUUCACUGGAACACUGUAGCAAGGCGGAGACAGAGAUGUUGGCCAGGGAGCAAGGUGGUGCAUUGAAGUGGCAGGCAACAGAUAGUUCAGGGUCUUUUUUGCGAGCAGAACGUAGAUGUGCUGCAAAGUGGUCGCCAAGUCUACGCUUUGUUUCCCCAAUGUACAGGACACCACACUGUGAGCUGCGAAUGCAGUAGAUUAGAUUCUUGGAAGUGCAGGUGCGGUGUUGCUUCACCUGGAAGGUACGUUUGGGCUCUUGGAUACUGGGGAGGGAGGAAGUGAAUAGGCAGGUGUUGCACCUUUGCUGGUUACAGGGGAAGGUGCCAUAGGGCUGUAGGGAGGUGUUGGAGGUGAAGAAAGUGCGGACCAGGGUGUCCCAGAGGGAACAGUCCCUAUGUAAGGUGGGCAAGGGAGGGGAGGUGGAGGUGGCGGAAAUGGCGUUUGAUGAUCUUCUGGUCGUGGAUGCUGGUGGGUUGAUAGGUGAGGAUAAGGGGAACCCUAUCGCUGUUAGAGGAGGGAACAGAAGGGGUGUGGGCAAUAGUGUGGGGGAUGGAUUGGACCCCAUUGAGGACCCUGUCAACAACGGAGCUGGGGAAUCCUCAGUUGAGGAAGAGUGUGGACAUUUCGGAGGCUCCCUUGUCGAAGUUGGCCUCAUCUGAACAUAUGCAACGGAGAUGGAGGAGCGGAGAGAAUGGGAUGGAGUCUUCACAGGAACUGGGAUGUCAGGAUGUACAGUCCAGGCAGCUGUGGGAGUUGUUGGGUUUGUAGUGGAUAUUAGUGACCAGUCUAGCCCCAGAAACAGAAACAGAAAUGUCAAGGAAGGAAAGGAGUCUGAGAUAGACCAGGUGAAAGUGAGGCCAGGGUGGAAAUCGGAGGCAAAAUUGAUGAAGUUUUCCAAUUCUAGACGAGAGAGGGAAGCAGCACCGAUGAUUUCAUCAAUGUAUCGGAGAAAGAGUAGUGGGUGGGGGCCGGAAUAGGACUGGAGAAAGGAAUGUUCCAUGGACCCCAUGAAGAGACAGACAGGCAUAACUAGGACCAUUGUGGGUACCCAUGGCAACCUCUCUUACCUGAAGAAAAUGACAGGAGUUGAGAGAAAAGUUGUUGAGGGUGAGGACAAGCUCAGCCAAGUGGAGGAGAGUGGUGGUGGGUGGGGAUGGUUCAGGUCUUUGCUCCAGGAAGAAGCGGAGGCCCUAAGACCCUCCUGGUGGGGAACAGAUGUGUAAAGGGAUUGCACGUCCAUGGUAAAGAGGGGGUGGCUGGAGCCGGUAAACUGGAAGCUUUGAAGCCGGCAUAUGAUGUCAGAUGAAUCAUAGGUGUAUGUGGGUAGGAAUUGGAAAUAGUCGAAACAGUCCUGGCUUUAAUCAAUAGGAUCUCAAGAUCGUAGGAUAUACGCUAUCAUGUUUAAAUCAUUAUGUUUAUGUUAUCAUAUUUAUUUAAUAACCUAUAUUUUUAUACGUACUGUGAUAAAGGUUUAUAACAUUAUCACCAUUUGGGAUUUUCUUUAUCAAUUUUGAUAAUCAAUUUUGGUUUCAGUUCUAUGAAAGUGGCUCACUUUUUAUAAACGAGAUCAAAUAGUCAUUUGGAACAGUAAACUAACGACAUCAUGUUUAAGAAAGGCUGUGAUUAAAGUUAAAAUACUUCGUUAGACGCAUGGAGCAUUAAUUAUAAAAAGUUUAUAAUGCUGAGUUUUAUGACCUACACAGAAUCAGAUGAUCCAAGGCCAGAGUCAGGGUUUUGUUGAGAACAAAAAUUGCAAUUCGUUGCAGAUUAUUCUGUAGACAUUGCCAGGACUGUGAAUUUCCAGAAAAUUGUUGAAGCUCCAAGUUUCAAAAACUAAAAAGAAUUCCAGGCUUUCAAGACUGGAUAGAGGUUUCUAGUUCUCAGAACUAGACAGAAGUCUCUAGGCCAUCAAAACUGGAUAAAAUCAGGCAAACAAGUUCGUUGGGAUUGAAAUUUGUUGCUGGAGAAUGGCUUGAUUAUUUGUUUUUGCUGUUUAUGUUAGAUCUUUCAAAAUACUUUAUGUAUAGUAUAUAGUUUUGCUUUUUUUCCCCCUCUCUUUUGUCUAAAAA